UACGGAGGAUGCGAGCGUUAUCCGGAAUCAUUGGGUUUAAAGGGUGCGUAGGCUGGUAUUUAAGUCAGUGGUGAAAUUUUCGUGCUUAACAUGAGAGCUGCCAUUGAUACUGGGUACCUAGAGUGUAUUUGAUGUGGGCGGAAUGUGUUGUGUAGCGGUGAAAUGCUUAGAUAUGACACAGAACACCGAUAGCGAAGGCAGCUCACAAAGUUACAACUGACGCUGAUGCA
rnacentral:rRNA from 1 species